GACGAAGGGGGCUAGCGUUGUUCGGAAUUACUGGGCGUAAAGCGCGUGUAGGCGGUUGCCCAAGUCGGGUGUGAAAGCCUUGAGCUCAACUCAAGAAAUGCACUCGGUACUGGGUGACUAGAGGACCGGAGAGGAUAGUGGAAUUCCCAGUGUAGUGGUGAAAUACGUAGAGAUUGGGAAGAACACCAGUGGCGAAGGCGGCACUCUGGGCUGGUACUGACGCUGAGGAGCGAAAGCGUGGGUAGCAAACAGG
rnacentral:rRNA from 1 species